UACGAAGGGGACUAGCGUUGUUCGGAAUUACUGGGCGUAAAGCGCGUGUAGGCGGCCAUGCAAGUCGGAUGUGAAAGCCCCUGGCUCAACUGGGGAAGUGCACCCGAAACUGAAUGGCUUGAGUGCGAAAGAGGGUCGCGGAAUUCCCGGUGUAGAGGUGAAAUUCGUAGAUAUCGGGAGGAACACCGGUGGCGAAGGCGGCGACCUGGGUCGACACUGACGCUGAGGCGCGAAAGCGUGGGGAGCAAACAGG
rnacentral:rRNA from 1 species